AGCAUUCUCCCUCUUCAUCAUUGAGGGCUUUAUUUAUGUUAAAUUUUCUUUAUUUUUGCUCUUCCAAUAGAAACCAUAAUUACCCCUUCAGAUUACUCUUUCUUUUUCUAUUUUUCUAAGAAAUUUCAUUUCUUAUUUAGAAGAGGAUGCAUCAACAAAGGCUUAAUCAACACCAAAAAGCAUUGAUUCAGAAAUCUCCGUAUCAUUUGGUGUGUGGCUACCGUGGUAACAAUUAUAAGACCAGCUCCAGUAAUUCUGUUGUAUUCAAUUGGCCUAAUGUCUUGCUGAGUACAAGGAUAAAAUUUCAAUGCUUUUGAAAAUCUUAUCAAUUCAUUUCUGAUAUGAAAGCUUACCAUUGUCAAGUUGCUUCAGAUAUUCCUGAAAUUUACUUUGCUACAGACCUCAUAAUUCUGUGAGAAUAAGAUCUUGGAGAAGUUAUCACCACAAUUGUGCUUUACCAACACAAAUAAAUCUCCAACAGACAUCUUGGUCAGUUCGUCUCAUCUUUGUUAAAUGGUUACCUCCAACAUAUAUUAUGUUCAGAGUAACUUCAUCUCGACUAUUUAUGAUAUUCAUAAUUAGUGAGAAUUUGUAUUUCUGAUACCAGUUUGUUGGGGAUCUUGUAAUGGAAACAUCGAAAUUACUAUUAUUUUCACAAAUAGAUGCAUUUAGCCCAAAUACACACCUUGCUGAAUAAUUGUUUUUGCAAACAUUUUUAUGUUGUUCACUGUUUUUGUUGAUUUCAGUAUCUGAUUCCAACCACUUUUAUGAUGUUCAAACAAAGCUAGAUUUAUUGAAUUUCUUGAUUAUUAAAAACUAAUUUAAUAUUCGAGGUGCAAUUCAAGUAUCUCUUCACGUAUCUAAUUGUUGUACACAAUUCUAGCAGUUCCUAUACCAACACAAAAUAAAGUGGUUAGUAGAUUAAUUUGAGAGAAAAAAUGAUGUUUUAAUCAACAUAAAUAUGAAAUUUUCUUGGUUGAGUCCAUAUGUCAACUCAAUUGUUAUGUGUUUGCAUUAUAUAUGUAACCAAAAAGUAGUACAUUUGUCAAUGGUUACAGAAAAAUCUGAACUAAUUAUGCAAGUAAAUAUGGUGAUCACAACAUGCUUUAAUGCAUUUGGUGCAAGUAAAAUGGCACAAUUGAACUUAAAUUUGCUAACUAAACUCUGUUCUUUCUUAGGGCAUUUGCAUCUAUAGUAAAUUUUGGUACUUUUUGUUUCAGUUAAAAGUUAGUUUUCUAUUAAUGAAUGAAGAUUGACUAUAAUUUUGCGAUUAAGUUAUUAUAUGUUUGUCCCAUUUGGUUGUGAGUUUCUGCUAUAUCAUACACAUGAAUUUGUUGAUACUAUCUGCAUACAUGGUAUAGUUUUAAAUAAUAUCGUGCUUUGAAAUAUUACGAUCAUAAUUUUAUUAAUCUAUAAGAAAAAUCUCUUAAAUACUACUGUAUUCUUAUUGCAUUUUUACCAUACUAACUACCAACAAAUACUACUGGUAGAUGUGAAAGAUGGGCUAUGGCAUGUAAAUGUCACUGUGAUCAUCAUCUACCCUAUAAAUCCACAAGCUGCAUCUCAAUUUAUAGACCAUUAUUUGCCUAAUCUUAUAAGUAUCUGAUAGGUAGUAAAUUCUUCUUCUACUUUAAAAUGCAUGUAAGUUACAUGAGAAAAUUGAAGGAAAGGUAUCUUUUAAGUCUUGAAUGAAGGAUUGGUGACAUUAACAUACUUAAAGGGUCAAACAUCAUUAGGAAACUUGAUUAAGUUAAUUGUGGACUUGAUUAAUAUUUUCAAAACUUUCUAAUCUUUUCAAAAAUACAAAUCACUCCAACCACGCCCUUCUUUAAUACAAAUCAAUCCAACUACGCCCCUCUUUAAUACAAAUCAACCAUUCUCUCCUCUCUCUCAACAGCUUUUCUCAACUCUCUCCCAACCAACAGUUCUACAAAAUUUCUCCCUUCAGCCCCCAACGACUUCUACCUCCGGCGACAAAUAGUUGGGGUUCGAGUUCCCCUCUUCAAUUCAAAUCAACUUGUCUCUCAUCCCUCUCUCGACAUUUUCUCUCAACUCUCUCCCAACCAACUAUUCUGUAAAUUUCUCAUUUCAAUACUCGGCGACUUUAACAUCCGACUACAAAUAGUUGGGCUUCGAGUUCCUUUUUGACUUCAACCUUCAAUUGACGUGACAACCUUGCUCUCCGACCACAAUAGCUUCUAAUUCUUCAUCGUACCUUUUUUUCUUUCACAGGUAAAAAUUUAUGAUCUUUUUAGUUUUGAAGAAAAUGAGGAACUUGAGCCAACUUCUCUUAUAGUAUUGGCUAAGCAUUUCAAUAUUUAUUGUAUUAAUUUAAAAUGCGGUCUGAAUAAAAUUCUAAUUUCUGAUAUUUCUUCUCUUUUUUUUUUUUAAGUAAAUUGUGAUUUUUUGUUGUUUGUUGAAUUUUUUUGAAGUUUGUUUUUUAUUGUUUCUAUUUAUAAAAAUAAAACAAAAAUUUUGGUUGAUUUCUUCUAUUCUUGUUCUUGGUAAAAAUGGUGAAAUUGCCAUUUUUUUGUUGAACAAAAUCAUGCUACUAUUUUUUAUUUACUCUAACAGAUUAUCCAUCUGGUGCAACAUAUUAACCAUCUGAUGCAACAAAUUUAUCAUAUGAUGCAACAGAUCAACCAUCUGAUGCACUAGAGAAACCAUCAUAUUAUAAUUUUGAUGCAACAGAUUAAUUAUCUGAUACAAAAGAUUAACUAUCUGAUGUAACAGAUUAAUCAUAUAUUGCAACAGAUUAAGCAUCAGAUAAAAAAUUUGAUGCAACUAAUUAACCAUCUGAUGCAAUGGAAGAACCAUCAGAUUAAUAUUCCGAUGCAACAGAUGAACCUCUUGUUGGAUAAAAUCCCAUCAACUCUUCCAACAGAAAAUGUCCAAGACUUGAUUUCUCCAACCGAUCAUUCAUCUGCUGCGAUAGAUGACCCUAUAUUGGAAGAAAUCUAAAUAAUAUUAACUGUUGAUAACUGUUCCAAUAGAUCACUCAUGUGUUGCAACAGAUGUGUGAUCUAUUGCACAGACCAUUCAUCUUUCUCAAUAGAUGAGUGAUAUGUUUUAUAUUAUCGCAACUGAUUACUCAACCAUUGCUGCAAGUUAGUUAACUGCUCUAACAGAUCACUCAUAUGUUGCAACAAAUGUCUGAUCUGUUGCAUAAACCAUUCAUCUUUCUCAAUAGAUAAGUGAUAUGUUUUGUAUUGUCACAACAAAUUACUCAGCUGUUGCUAUAGGUUAUUUAACUGUUCCAAUAGAUCACUCAUAUAUUGCAAUAGAUGAUGUCAUAAUAGAUAUGUGAUCUGUUUUAGAGACCAUUCAUCUUUCUCAACAGAUGAGUGAUAUGUUUUGUAUUGUCGCAACAAAUUACUCAGCUGUUGCUACAGGUUAUUUAACUAUUCCAAUAGAUCACUCACAUGUUGCAAUAGAUAAUAUUAUAAUAGAUGUGUGAUCUGCUGCAUAGACCAUUCAUUUUGCUUAAUAGAUGAGUGAUUUGUUUUGUAUUGUCACAACAUAUUACUCAUCUGUUACAACAGGUUAUUUAACUAUCCCAAGAAUCACUCAUAUAAUGCAACAAUGUAUGAUCUGUUGCACAGACCAUUAAUCUGUCUUAAAAGAUGAGUGAUAUAUUUUGUAUUAUUGCAACAGAUUACUCAUCUGCUGCAACAGGUUGGUUAUAUAUUGCAACAGAUAUACUACCUGGUGCAACAAAUCGGUGAUCUAUUGCAACUGUUAUUUUACUAUUUUGUUUGUUUGAUUUACUGUUAACCUUUUUAAAUGAUGCAUUAAUCAACUAUAAUAUAUUUUUUUAUGUUUCUAUUAAUUUUAGAUAAUAUGGUUCCCAAAAGAACAGAAACCGAAUCAAGUCCAAGUAAAGGAAUAAGUGAAGCAGCUAGGCUACAUCUACCACUCUAUGAUCUUGUUUUACAAGUGUUAUCUCAAUCGGGGGAAGAAUAUGAUGAACACGGGG
rnacentral:lncRNA from 1 species